GAUGAACGCUGGCGGCGUGCCUAAUACAUGCAAGUCGAGCGAACAGACGAGGAGCUUGCUCCUCUGACGUUAGCGGCGGACGGGUGAGUAACACGUGGAUAACCUACCUAUCAGACUGGGAUAACUUCGGGAAACCGGAGCUAAUACCGGAUAAUAUAUUGAACCGCAUGGUUCAAUAGUUAAAGACGGUUUUGCUGUCACUUAUAGAUGGCUCCGCGCCGCAUUAGCUAGUUGGUAAGGUAACGGCUUACCAAGGCAACGAUGCGUAGCCGACCUGAGAGGGUGAUCGGCCACACUGGAACUGAGACACGGUCCAGACUCCUACGGGAGGCAGCAGUAGGGAAUCUUCCGCAAUGGGCGAAAGCUUGACGGAGCAACGCCGCGUGAGUGAUGAAGGUCUUCGGAUCGUAAAACUCUGUUAUUAGGGAAGAACAAAUGUGUAAGUAACUAUGCACGUCUUGACGGUACCUAAUCAGAAUGCCACGGCUAACUACGUG
rnacentral:rRNA from 1 species